GUCACGUUUCCUACUUUUUAAAGAUUAAGACAUGCUCCGAACCCAUGACCUACAUAUCUGUUCGCUAUUGGUAUCUAACAGAGUUUAAAAGGCAACAAGAAGAAAACAAAAUAACUUAAGGAGGAUGCAUCUCAGAGCUAUAACAUUCAUUCACAUGAUCCUGAUUUGUUCAAUACCAGUUCUAAAAGCUCACUCAGAUGGAACAGAGUUGAAAGUUGCAGAGACGUCAGUAUGUCACUAUGUGGUCAAGGGCGGGAUUCUAAUUGCUGGGUUUAUGUUCUUCAAAGUGGUAAUUUUACCAAUGCUUGGCAUUACAUCUUCGGGAAUAGUUCCUGGAUCUAUUGCUGAUAAAGUUUACAUCGCUUUAAUCAACGCAAAGGGUUACAUAAUAACGAAAAACAGCUUUGUUGAAAGUUUGAUUUCAAAACAGGCUGUUAAGUAUGGAUUGAGUGUUGCCCCAUCUAUCGGUAAAAAGCUGUAUCAAACCAUAGACCCAUAUCUUAGCAUGGUUGCCUCCUAUGUGUGUGAGUAGAUUCAAUGCACAUCAAAAUCCUCUGGCUUUACAUGUAUAGUUGGACUUUUUUUCUACAUGUUAAAACAUUAUUUUUGGGUUUAGUAUAAUGUGAAUGAAAUCAAUAUUUCAAAUAAAAA